AGAGUUUGAUCCUGGCUCAGGAUGAACGCUGGCGGCGUGCCUAAUACAUGCAAGUCGAGCGAACAGAUAAGGAGCUUGCUCCUUUGAAGUUAGCGGCGGACGGGUGAGUAACACGUGGGUAACCUACCUAUAAGACUGGGAUAACUUCGGGAAACCGGAGCUAAUACCGGAUAACAUUUAGAACCGCAUGGUUCUAAAGUGAAAGAUGGUUUUGCUAUCACUUAUAGAUGGACCCGCGCCGUAUUAGCUAGUUGGUAAGGUAACGGCUUACCAAGGCGACGAUACGUAGCCGACCUGAGAGGGUGAUCGGCCACACUGGAGCUGAGACACGGUCCAGACUCCUACGGGAGGCAGCAGUAGGGAAUCUUCCGCAAUGGGCGAAAGCCUGACGGAGCAACGCCGCGUGAGUGAUGAAGGGUUUCGGCUCGUAAAACUCUGUUAUUAGGGAAGAACAAAUGUGUAAGUAACUGUGCACAUCUUGACGGUACCUAAUCAGAAAGCCACGGCUAACUACGUG
rnacentral:rRNA from 1 species